rnacentral:rRNA from 1 species
UACGGAGGAUGCGAGCGUUAUCCGGAUUUAUUGGGUUUAAAGGGUGCGCAGGCGGAUUUUUAAGUCAGCGGUCAAAUCGUGGGGCUCAACCCCAUCCAGCCGUUGAAACUGGGGAUCUAGAGUGUGCGUGAGGUAUGCGGAAUGCGUGGUGUAGCGGUGAAAUGCAUAGAUAUCACGCAGAACCCCGAUUGCGAAGGCAGCAUACCGGUGCACAACUGACGCUCAGGCACGAAAGCGUGGGUAUCGAACAGG